AAAUAAGAAACGAAGAAGAGAGAGAGAGAUGAAAAGGAAGAGGAGAAAGAAGCUUGUUCAAGAAGCGGAGGUUAUCCAGCUCAGCGACCUUGAAAACCCUAUCAAUGAACUCCGUCUCCUCCUCUCCCGACUUCCGAGCAUCCACCUUCUUGUGCUCAUACCUCCUCCUCCUCCUCCUCCUUUGAUCCUCAUCCUCAUCUUCAUCCUCCACAAUUCGCUUCAAUAACCCAGUCCGGAGGCGAUCGUAGGUCGGAAGCUUCUUGAUCGCCGCCCAAUGCAACGCCUCCUCGUCGCCAGCCUAAUCGGGCAUCCAUGACGCCGAUCUCCCCCUCCUCCUCGCAAAUACCUCUUCCAUUCCCAACGCCCCCAUCUUCAUCUCCCUGCUCAUGCUCCGGCGGAGGUCCCGGCUAGCUCGCCGGCCGGAAUCCCAGAAAGGAGAAGAGUGAUGAGUGGGAGAGUGAAGAGGAAGAGUGAUGAGCAGUAGUAGGAGAGUGAUGAUUGAUGAGUGAUGAGUGAUGAGUGGGAGAGUGUUGUUGAUUCAGAGUGUGUGAUGCUUAUUUGAUUUCUUUGAGUUUUUCAUUGAUUGAUAUUAUGAUUUUUGCCCUUGUUUUUGGUUUUUGAAGAUUAAGUUGUCCAAGGAGCGGGAUUCACUUGCUCUGACUUCGAAGAAAUUGGCCAGAGAUUUGGCGAAGGUGACCUUGAUUACAAUGAUCUUAUAAAAAUCCCCUAUAUGGAUGAACUCGACAAAAGAAUAAAUAUGGAUGAUGUGAGAAUGAGUAUAAACAACAAAUUGAAUUUUUGAUUUCAUUCGAGUGAGGCUUUUGGAAGCUCAGUGAGGGUUUUGAUCACUUGAUAUCACUAGCAGGCAGAAAGGUGAGCCUGAGUGUGUUCAAGUUGUAAGUCCAGGACUUCAUGUUCUUUCUUAUGUGAGACUGCAUACUCCAUGGCAUAAGGCACAAGUACUUGGUGAGAGUUUGAAGGAGAUGUUGAGGAGUAAUGGAGAUAAAGAAAUUGCUGCAAAGGAGAUGGUGGAGAAGUUGAUGGGAAACAGAGUGAAGGUUGAGAAGGAUAGGUUGCCAAACACUGGGUGUGACUCUGACUGAGUUCAAUCUCUGUUGAAACGGACACCGAACUGGUUAUUAUAUAUAUAUAUAUAUAUAUAUAUAUAUUAUUUUGAUGAAACUUGUUGUGGGUUUUUUUUUUCUUUUUAAUUUAAUAGUUUGAUGGGAAAACAGGGAGUGUUUGGGAUAAGGAGUACAGGGGUAUUGGCAGUGAAAACAGAUGGAGAAGCAUGUUUUUAUGAGAAGUACUUGGAGGAAGGAGUGAGGAGUGUGGAAAGAGCAUAGUGUGCAGUACCAUUUAGAUGUUUGAUUGGUUUAUGUUGUGUGUACUUAAUUUUUUUAGUUUAACAAAGAAUCUGUUUGGCUUUUUAAGAACAA